CUGCAGGUCCCUAAUCUAUUGCAGCAAUGAGCUCUGGCAGGGUGACGGCCGUGGCUCUUGUGGUCAGCCUAUGUAUGGUAUAUUACGUCGGCCUCUCAGGCAGCGCUGCCAUUCCUCCAGUGGUCAUCAUAAAUGAUACAGGACUUUGCCCGGACCCCCCAUGUCUGCCAGACUGCGGUUCCUGCGUUCCUACUAGAAAUGCUUUGUGUCCUGCUGUCUGCAUUCCAUCCUUACAAACCUGAUCCUGUAAUCUGGGCUGUUUCCAUAGCAGUCUCAGGCUCCACCUCCCAGGAGAAACUGAAGAACCUGAGUAUUUGUCAUUAUAAAUUCAUGUUGUUUUGUUUUUAUCUAAAUAAAUAAAAUAAAGGGAAUAUAAUAAUGUUA